CUCUUCCUUUCCAGGUUGUAUCGGGGGUCCUAAUCACUCAGAUCAACCUGACUAUCAUCCCCUUCCCCUUCAUCCUCUCCCUAUUUAUCCCUAACUUUCUUCAGUAAAUAAUUCUCCAACAUUCAUGGAUGUGGUGUGGUCCUUGAUCGUGAAAUGUCCUUUAAAUCGAAAAGUGGAUCAGUAUGACUUUGUCAUCAUGCUGUGUGCCGGAGAUCUCCAGUGCUUCUGGCACUUUGCUCACUAUGGUCCAGCUGGUGACUGUGUGGCCCUUGAUAGACAUCUGUCUGUGAUUGUUAAUGCUCCGAGCGGAUUAAUAAUCGGCACAGCUGACGAUGAAAGUGCUCAGAUUGUCUUCAGUGUUGAGGAGACUGCAGGUUUUUAUCAGAUGUGCUUCAGUAAUUUCCACAAUCGCUUUGGGAUCAUGCAGGUUUUCCUAAACUUUGGUGUGUAUUACGAGGGACAAGAGAAGAAAAAGGAAGAAGAGGAUAUGAAACAGAUAAACAGUUCAUUGUCCUUUAUUGGGUGUAUCUCCAGAAACAAGAGAAGCAGUGGAUUCCAGUAACAUGAAGCUCCUGUGAGGACGCUGAACAUCUGCUGAUGGAGCUGCUCUAUUCUGAGAGGAACAGAAUCACCUGAUGAUCAAAUAUGAGUUUCACUGUCC